rnacentral:rRNA from 1 species
UUGACCUCGAAUCAGGUAGGAAUACCCGCUGAACUUAAGCAUAUCAAUAAGCGGAGGAAAAGAAACCAACAGGGAUUGCCCUAGUAACGGCGAGUGAAGCGGCAACAGCUCAAAUUUGAAAUCUGGCCCCCGGGUCCGAGUUGUAAUUUGUAGAGGAUGCUUUUGGUGCGGUGCCUUCCGAGUUCCCUGGAACGGGACGCCAUAGAGGGUGAGAGCCCCGUCUGGUCGGC